UGUAUAAAACUGAGAGUUUGUAUCAUCAAAACCCACUCCCUAAAGCUCAUCUAUCUGCACGAGAGACAGUAACUGGGACUGUCAUCACCUGUCGAUUGAGAGCAUCCCCAAGCAGCUACGCUGAGAUCCCUGCUCAUCGCCAGCCAUGAAGAUCCUUUAUCUGCUCUUUGCCCUUUUCUUUCUGGGGCUCCAGGUUGCACCAGGUGCAGGAUUUGAGUGUCCUCCUGGUUGUAGAAGACGAUGUAAUAUGAUGGGAGGCGGGUGCCUUCGUGUUUGUCCAAGCAAUAAGAUCCUGUUUUCCUGCGGCCGGUUCGUAUGCUGUCGUCGAGGCUGGGGUCCACAGGAGUGAUGACAACAAAGUUUCUCAAGGCAUCAUUUCUGGGAAGCUGGAAGAAAAUGCCUUGCAAUGAAAAUCUUGAAGAAAAUCCAGAAAGAGGCGCUCUAUUCUGCAGUAUGACUUCAGUCUGACUGAAAUAAAAGCAGCUGGUUGUG